UUUAUCCCGCGACAAACAGCCCCACCGAGAGCCGCUGAAUGGGCGUGAUUAGCAUGUGAAAAGGCGAGCAAAACUCCGCGGUUCAACAGCUAAAGAGCAAUUUGAUGGGGCUGGGAUGGGGAAAUUACUUGAUUAGCGUCCAUCGGAGGAGAACACGGUUACAGCCCCUCGGCCGGGAAUCCGACAGGGGAACAAAACGCGCUGGCCUGGAGGGCAGUGCUGAAGGCCCGCGGCCGAGGUUUUGCUUUAAGUAUACUUGGGCCUCGCAACUCAGCUGUUUGCGAACAGAGACCUGGCGAAUCGCCGAGGAGCGGCGCGGCUCCGCGUCCCCACUUCAAGGCCAAGUGGAGAGUGAGGACACGCUGAGGCCCCCUGCUACCUAUCAUGCCAUCUUAAGCGGGCACCGACUCCUUACCCAGAAAAGAUCCUGGAGCUAAAGCCUGCGCCUACACCAGAGAGGGGAAUUUAAGUUUCCCACUCUCGACGUGUCUGGAACCUUCCCUCUAGCCGCAUACCCACAACCCCCUGCUCCCUGGCUCCUCCCAGUGUCAAGGAAGGAGAAAGACUCCCACCCUGUCCCCAAAGUCUCAGACUAACUCGCUCCAGGUCACAGGACCCACUAAGAGGGCCUUUCCAGCUCAUGCCCGGAACAGGGGUGCAGCGGCGACCCUCUGGGAUCUGGAGAGAGAGAAUUUAACACGGCCUUCCUGAAGUACAUUCACGCAAAUGUGAGAAAGACUUCAACGCACAGAAUCGCCAAAGCCCUUGCCGUCUUAAAUAAAUCCUGCCCCUUGGCACAGAAGAACGGAGAACCAAGGAGUUAAUUCCUAUUUUAUAAGAAAAAAAAAAAAAAAAAGGAGGGGGAGAGAGGAAGGGAGUGGAUGGCCCCCACUGAGCGGAACAAUUGUCACUCAGUUGAACAGUGUCAAUUAACAAACCGCAGCUCUGGCAGACUUCAAAAGGCUUGAUUCUUUUUGAAAUGUCUGUGGUGAUGGGUGUGCAGCGAACCCCAGCUCGCCGGUGGCCGCUCACCCCGCUCGCCUCUCUCUCCCUCUGGACUCGGUGCUGAAGCCCCAGUGCAGCUCGCUCCUCCUUCUGUCAGCAGCUGGACCCGGAAGCCCUGACUCCCGGCUUGGCGCCUGUGCUGAGAGCGGAGAAGGACGUCGCGACCGGCAGGCCUGGAGGGCGCAUUGGUGUGCAGAGUGUAGCGGCUGGUCUGGCCCUGGGAACCCCAGACCCGCGAAGCUGGAGGGCGCACUCCCCGGCCUCAGAGCCCCAAACCGGAGGCGCUGUCCAAACGCGCCAACGCUGCAAGCAAUGUGGCAGGGCACACCGAAAUGCGUGUCUCGCACACCUGCCCAUCUUUCCCUGCUCAACACGAAAGCGCCUUGUGGCUCUAAGCGCUUCCUUGGGGUGGCUGGGGCUGUGCAUUUUAAUUCCAAAGUCAAGAGGUUGAACCAUCUCAAAGUUGGCGGGUGGAGGGGGCGGUGGCAGGGAACUAGAUGGCUGGAUGCCUUUGCCUGCGGGGUGGCAGGGCUGUCCCUACCAAUAGCCACGGCUCGGGGCUGGCUUUGUAGUUAUUUUUCCAAGUUCUGCCCGGUGCCCAUCAUAUUGCCCUGAAAAGCAAAAGAG
rnacentral:lncRNA from 1 species